UACGUAGGGUGCAGGCGUUAAUCGGAAUUACUGGGCGUAAAGCGUGCGCAGGCGGUUUCUUAAGUCAGAUGUGAAAGCCCCGGGCUUAACCUGGGAACUGCGUUUGAAACUGGGAGACUUGAGUGUGGCAGAGGGGGGUGGAAUUCCACGUGUAGCAGUGAAAUGCGUAGAUAUGUGGAGGAACACCGAUGGCGAAGGCAGCCCCCUGGGUUAACACUGACGCUCAGGCACGAAAGCGUGGGGAGCAAACAGG
rnacentral:rRNA from 1 species